UCCUGUACGUGUUGAAUGUUAACCAAUUUAUUUACACGUACGACUACAAAGUAUUUGCAAUUUUUAUUCAAAAAUAUCGUUUGUUUAUGCGGUAAUUAUUGACGCUUCUUCAUCGCUGAUCGUGAGUUAAAUUAAACGAUAAUAAAUUGUAUCUAGAAUGCUAGACUAGAUGACUACCGCAAUAACAAUUAAAUUCUACAGUGCUAUUACACUCUAGACAUCCACAGUACCUAUCGCUGAAAGAACAAAGGAGAUAUUACAAAAUGUCAAAACUAUUAACAGGCAACUGGAACAACCGUACGUGAACUCUUGACGCAAUGGAUGCUGAUCCAAGUGUACCUACCAUACGCUUUUUGAUGUCACAUUACUACAAUGGAUGAUUGGUGAUGAGUGGUGCAUUAUACAAACUCUGGAUGCCAUGUGCUACGAAGGAUUCUUCAUAUCAGUCCUUUGCCACUCCUGGAUGAAGGAAGCAUUAAACACCUUUUCUCCGCUGGAAUUAGAGGCAGAUUUUGCCAUUGCUAAAGGAAUGAUUCAUGACAAUAAAAUGGUAACAGCAUUAUUUAAAAACUACAGAUAUCAUUUUACUUUUAAUAGCAUUUUAA